AUGGUUAGGCCUGUACUGUGUCUGAAUAAGAUGGAUGAAUUAUUUCCUGGGCUUCAAGGUGAAGUUGUGAAGCAUAAAUUUACAGGUGAGCAAACAUACCAGAUUCUGAACAAUGUCAUUCAGAAUGCCAAUGCCACUAUGGCAACACAUGGAGAUGCCCGCCUUGGAGAUGUCCAGUUCUACCCGGAGAAGGGAAAUGUGGCAUUCUCUGCUGGAUUACACGGCUGGGCUUUUACACUGACUAGCUUUGCUAAGGUGUAUGCUCCGAAGGUGGGUGUGGAAGAAUCUUAUAUGGUUAAGAAGCUUUGGGGCGACAACUUUUAUGACCACACCACAAGGAAAUGGACCAAGGAGAAGACCCGUUCCAAAACUUGUAAAAGAGGAUUUGUCAUGUUCAUCUAUGAUCAAAUCGAAAGAGUGAUCCAAGCCUGCAUGGAGAACCAGAAAGAUGAAUUGCGGAGAAUGUUGCAGAAGGUUGGGGUGAACUUGAUGGAUGAUGAGAAGAACCUAACAGGCAUGGCUCUUGUGAAGUGUGUCAUGAAAACUUGGCUCCCAGCCAGUACUGCUCUGCUUGAGAUGAUGAUCUGCCACCUCCCCUCUCCGUUAGAAGCACAGAAAUAUCGUGUGGAGAACCUGUAUGAGGGCCCCCUUGAUGAUAAAUACGCAGAAGCUAUUAAAAAAUGUGACCCUGAAGGUCCUCUUAUGCUGUACGUUUCCAAGAUGGUCCCAGCAUCUGACGUGGGCAGAUUUUUUGCGUUUGGUCGUGUCUUCUCUGGAAGGAUUGCAACUGGCAUGAAGGUCCGGGUCAUGGGGCCUUCCUAUGUCCCCGGCAUGGGAACUGAUUUGAACGUGGAGUCUGUCCAGCGUACCAUUAUAUGGAUGGGAAAGAAGCAAUGUGACGUUCCGGAUGUUCCUUGCGGUAACACUGUUGGUUUGAUUGGUCUGGAUGCAUGUAUAAUAAAGAGUGCUACCCUGACAAGCGAAAAGGAGGUUGUUGCACGCCCAAUCAGAGCGAUGAAGUUCUCUGUAUGCCCUCUGAUGUUUGUUACAGUUAACUGCAAGGUUCCGACCGAUGUUCCCAAACUUGUACAAGGUUUGAAGCGUCUGGCGAUGUCUGACCCCGUGGUUCUGUGCAGCCAGGUAGAGCCUGGUACCUAUACGGUUGCUGGAGUGGGAGAGCUUCAUCUGGAAAUUUGCUUGAAAGAUCUACAGGAAAACUUUAUGGAUGGUGUUGAAGUUGCUGUUUCCAGUCCGCCUGUUGUUUCCUUCCGUGAGACUGUCCGCAAGUCUUGUGAUCCUGUUGAGAAAAAGUUCAGAAACAAUCAAAUUCGAUACAGCUUGUCUGUGGUAGCCCGCCCCUUGGAUGAAAAAGUAGUCGAGGCUAUUGAGGAUGGUCGCUUGGGUCCACGUACUGACCAUGCGGUACGAUCUGAGAUCCUUGCUAAGCAUGGUUGGGAUAAGGAUCUUGGCGAUAAGAUUUGGUGCUUUGGUCCUGAUGCUGUUGGCCCCAAUGUGAUUGUUAAUAGGUGCAAGGUAAUACAGAAUCUGGAGUUAGCGAAGAAAGUUAUCGUGGCUGGCUUCGAGGUGGUGGCAAAAGAAGGCGCAUUGGCAAAAGAAAGGAUGCAUGGCAUAUGCUUUGAGGUUCAUAAUGUUAUUAUACAUGCUGAUGAAGCAUUGAGAGGUACAACUGCUCAGCUCAAUGAGAUGGUUAGGACAGCACUUAUUGAGUCUCAGCUCGCUGCCAAGCCAAGGCUUCUCGAACCCACCUACACUGUGGCGAUCCAGUGCCCUAAGAGUGCCCUCAGCACUAUCUACGGAAUUCUCCACCAGAGGAAUGGUGCUGUGUAUGAGGAGUUUGUGAGAGAAGGCACGAUGCUACACAUCCUGAAGGCUUACGUUCCAGUUUAUGAUUCCUUUGGCCUCUCCAAGGCAAUCAGUGCUGCAACAUCUAAGCUGGUCACCCCGCAGUGUAUUUUUGGAUAUUGGAGCGACAUGUGCUCUGAUCCUUUCCAGGCAAAUGCGCCAGCUGGGCAAAUGGUCUUGGAUAUCCGCGAGAGGAAGAAGAUGGGCAGGCCCUCUUUCCAGAAGUAG
rnacentral:rRNA from 1 species